UACGUAGGGUGCAAGCGUUGUCCGGAAUUAUUGGGCGUAAAGAGCUCGUAGGCGGUCUGUCGCGUCGGCUGUGAAAACCCGGAGCUCAACUCCGGGCCUGCAGUCGAUACGGGCAAACUGGAGUGUUGCAGGGGAGACUGGAAUUCCUGGUGUAGCGGUGAAAUGCGCAGAUAUCAGGAGGAACACCGGUGGCGAAGGCGGGUCUCUGGGAAACAACUGACGCUGAGGAGCGAAAGCGUGGGGAGCGAACAGG
rnacentral:rRNA from 1 species